UACGGGAGGAGCAAGCGUUGUUCGGAUUUACUGGGCGUAAAGGGCGCGUAGGCGGUCAGCACAAGUCAGUUGUGAAAUCUCCGGGCUUAACUCGGAAAGGUCAACUGAUACUGUGCGACUAGAGUGCAGAAGGGGGCAACUGGAAUUCUCGGUGUAGCGGUGAAAUGCGUAGAUAUCGAGAGGAACACCUGCGGCGAAGGCGGGUUGCUGGGCUGACACUGACGCUGAUGCGCGAAAGCCAGGGGAGCGAACGGG
rnacentral:rRNA from 1 species